rnacentral:rRNA from 1 species
AUCGAUGAAGAACGCAGCGAAAUGCGAUAAGUAAUGUGAAUUGCAGAAUUCAGUGAAUCAUCGAGUCUUUGAACGCACAUUGCGCCCCUUGGCAUUCCGAGGGGCACGCCUGUUCGAGCGUCAUUCAGACCAUCAAGCUCCGCUUGGUAUUGGGUCACCCAUCCACCGGAUGGUGACCUCAAUGAUGUUGGCGGUACGGCCCGACCCAAACGUGACGACAUCACAGUGAGGGAAAGGAACGAACCUGCCCAAUCACCCUUUAUUUUUUCAAGGUUGACCUCGGAUCAGGUGGGGAUACCCGCUGAACUUAAGCAUAUCAAUAAGCGGAGGAAAAGAAACCAACCGGGAUUGCCUCAGUAACGGCGAGUGAAGCGGCAACAGCUCAAAUUUGAAAGCUGACUCCUUCGGGGUCCGCAUUGUAAUUUGUAGAGGAUGCCUCGCGGACGGCGCCACCCUAAGUCCCUUGGAACAGGGCGUCACAGAGGGUGAGAAUCCCGUAUGUGGGUGGAGGCCCGACGCGUGUGAGGCUCCUUCGACGAGUCGAGUUGUUUGGGAAUGCAGCUCUAAUUGGGAGGUAAAUUUCUUCUAAAGCUAAAUAUCGCCUGGAGACCGAUAGCGCACAAGUAGAGUGAUCGAAAGAUGAAAAGCACUUUGAAAAGAGAGUCAAACAGCACGUGAAAUCGUUGAAAGGGAAGCGGUUGCGAUCAGACUUGCCCGCGGUUGAUCAGCCGUCGUUCUCGACGGCGCACUCGGCCGCGGUCAGGCCAGCAUCGAUUCCGGCGGCCGGAGAAAGAUGGCGGGAAUGUAGCUCCCUUCGGGGAGUGUUAUAGCCCGUUAUGGAAUACGGCCCGCUGGGAUCGAGGUCCGCGCUUCGGCUAGGAUGCUGGCGUAAUGGUCGUAACCAUCCCGUCUUGAAACACGG